UACGAAGGGGGCUAGCGUUGCUCGGAAUCACUGGGCGUAAAGCGCACGUAGGCGGACUCUUAAGUCGGUGGUGAAAUCCUGGAGCUCAACUCCAGAACUGCCUUCGAUACUGAGAGUCUUGAGUCCGGGAGAGGUGAGUGGAACUGCGAGUGUAGAGGUGAAAUCGUAGAUAUUCGCAAGAACACCAGUGGCGAAGGCGGCUCACUGGCCCGGUACUGACGCUGAGGUGCGAA
rnacentral:rRNA from 1 species